GACGAACGCUGGCGGCGUGCUUAACACAUGCAAGUCGAACGGAAAGGCCCUGCUUUUGUGGGGUGCUCGAGUGGCGAACGGGUGUGUUACACGUGAGUAUCCUGCCCUUGACGUUGGGAUAACUUCAGGAAACUGGGGCUAAUACCGGAUAGGAGCUCCUGCUGCAUGGUGGGGGUUGGAAAGUUUAGGCGGUGGGGGAUGGACUGGCGGCUUAUCAGCUUGUUGGUGGGGUAGUGGCUUACCAAGGCAUUGACGGGUAGCCGGCCUGGGAGGGGGACCGGCCACAUUGGGACUGAGGUACGGCCCAGACUCCUACGGGAGGCAGCGGUGGGGAAUAUUGCACAAUGGGCGGAAGCCUGAUGCAGCAACGCCGCGUGCGGGAUGACGGCCUUCGGGUUGUAAACCGCUUUCGCCUGUGACGAAGCGUGAGUGACGGUAAUGGGUAAAGAAGCACCGGCUAACUACGUG
rnacentral:rRNA from 1 species